CCAGACUCCUACGGGAGGCAGCAGUAGGGAAUCUUCGGCAAUGGGGGCAACCCUGACCGAGCAACGCCGCGUGAGUGAAGAAGGUUUUCGGAUCGUAAAGCUCUGUUGUAAGAGAAGAACGAGUGUGAGAGUGGAAAGUUCACACUGUGACGGUAACUUACCAGAAAGGGACGGCUAACUACGUGCCAGCAGCCGCGGUAAUACGUAGGUCCCGAGCGUUAUCCGGAUUUAUUGGGCGUAAAGCGAGCGCAGGCGGUUAGAUAAGUCUGAAGUUAAAGGCUGUGGCUUAACCAUAGUACGCUUUGGAAACUGUUUAACUUGAGUGCAGAAGGGGAGAGUGGAAUUCCAUGUGUAGCGGUGAAAUGCGUAGAUAUAUGGAGGAACACCGGUGGCGAAAGCGGCUCUCUGGUCUGUAACUGACGCUGAGGCUCGAAAGCGUGGGGAGCAAACAGGAUUAGAUACCCUGGUAGUCCACGCCGUAAACGAUGAGUGCUAGGUGUUGGGUCCUUUCCGGGACUCAGUGCCGCAGCUAACGCAUUAAGCACUCCGCCUGGGGAGUACGACCGCAAGGUUGAAACUCAAAGGAAUUGACGGGGGCCCGCACAAG
rnacentral:rRNA from 1 species